GUUUGGAAAUUAAUAUAAGAAAAUGUGGUCUACAAAUCCCCUGCAGCCAUAAAAUGGUAAGAGAUCCUGUUCUUUGCAGGGACGUGAAUGGAGCUGGAGGCCAUUGUCUUCAGCAACGUAACUGAGGAAGAGAAAACCAAAUACUGCAUGUUCCACUUGGAUAUCCAACAGAAUGCAUGACUUUUUCUACAAAAACAUAUUUAUGUCAUUCACAACUGAACUCACUGAAAUGGAUGCUUUCAUGGUGGAACCAGGGCCUGAAGAACAGAAGAUUCAACAGAACAUUAACAAUGAAACCAGAUGAAGACCUGUGGAACAGAUGGAGGGCACACCCUGGGAUGGAGCCUUACAGAGACAGAUCUGUUAUCAAAUUUCUGCAAGUCACAUUUUACCACUUCUUGAGCUGGCCCAAGGUCUUCUUUCCAAGGGGAGAUUCAACAAUGAUUUCACUGAAGUGGACAUUAAGGCUUCUGCCCAGGUGUUUUUGA
rnacentral:lncRNA from 1 species